rnacentral:snRNA from 1 species
GUGCUCACUUCAGCACCACAUAUACUAAAAAUGGAAUGAUACAGAGAAUACCAUGAUCCCAAUGCAAGGAUGACAUGCAAAUUCAUGAAAUAUUCCAUUUUUUU